UAUAGAAAGACCCCGAUGCGGGAGGAGGUGCAUCGGGGUCUCUGAACUAGAUCGGUCC
rnacentral:sRNA from 1 species